UGGGCAGGAGGAGAGAGAAGGCAAUGCAGAGAUGAAGGACAUCAUACCACAAUAAUAGUUGUGUGUAUAAGCCUGAUCAACAAGUGAAAAUAGUCAGAUAACAGGAAAGAGUUUGAAAACUAUGAUUUGACGACCACUGCUGAAUUGGCCUGCUCAGAGGAAGAGGCACUAAUGAUUCCAGAAAACAGGAAGCCAAAGAAGAAGACCUAUACAGACUUUGAAAUGGAUCUCUCAAUUGCCAUGAUGACCAAGAUAUUCAAUGGGGAAAUGUGGAAAGCUGCCAUAUUCCCAGUCAUUACUUUGCCAAAUCAUCUGUGCAGCAGCACCGAGGAAUCCUACUUUCCUGAGUCAGCAAGGACUUCCCUGAGUGGCAACAGACUGGAGCAGAGGCUGGAGCAGGGACAGCCUUUUUUUUUUGCUACUGAAAUAACUGACAUUAUGAUAGACAGUGGACAAUAUGGUGUGACAAUUAGUUUUUGUUCUCCAACAUGUACACACUGCUGUUGUGAAGCAGGGAUAAACAGCUCACAAGUGCGUAGUCAAAAGACAGAAAUACUGUAUAUUUCAGCGACUCCUACAGAUUAAGAAAAAUAAUGAAUUUUCUUAAUAAAUAAAUGUUAUUCUUGGCUCAAUUGUUCAGUGUCUUUGGGUUCAAAUAACAUUACCAUGAUCCCAUAGGCAUAAAAAAAUUGAGAAAGUGGCGUUUUUUAAAACUGAAACAGGGUGUGUUGGACAUCUUGUUGUGUGCGCACGUCUCUUCUGA